rnacentral:rRNA from 1 species
CCUACGGGUGGCAGCAGUGAGGAAUAUUGGUCAAUGGACGCAAGUCUGAACCAGCCAAGCCGCGUGCAGGAAGACGGCUCUAUGAGUUGUAAACUGCUUUUGUACGGGGAUAAACGCAGAUACGCGUGUCUGACUGCAAGUAUCGUACGAAUAAGGAUCGGCUAACUCCGUGCCAGCAGCCGCGGUAAUACGGAAGAUUCAAGCGUUAUCCGGAUUUAUUGGGUUUAAAGGGUGCGUAGGCCGCCGGUUAAGUUAGUGGUGAAAUGCCGCGGCUCAACUUCGGAAUUGCAUCUGAUACUGUUCGGCUUGAGAGUAGUUGCGGUAGGCGGAAUGUAUGGUGUAGCGGUGAAAUGCUUAGAGAU